UUGUUUGAUUUAAUAAAUUAGUUAUGGAGAUGGAAGACGCUUCUCACCACCAUAUCCCUCCUUAAGCAUAAAUUAAUUAGGGAACGUCCUCUAACUAAUCACUAAUCAACAAGUUGCCAAGGAACGUCCUUGGACCUUUGGCAUCUAACAACUGUCAAUUGCAUUAAGAAAUAGAGAGACCUAAUUCUAGCUACCCAAACGCAUGGUGAUAUUGCUAAAUCAUGCAAUUUCCUUAGUUUUUACACCAAGAGUUACUU
rnacentral:lncRNA from 1 species